AUGGAUCCAGCCAGCGACUCUAUCGCGGAAAGUAAGCCGGUGUGCCAGUGUGCUUCCAAGUCUUCGGUCCAGCGGUGGCUUCCAGGUUUCCCAAUCGCUCUGUGCAUGCUGAUGUCUCUGAGCUCCAUCGCCGUGUGUCUUCUGAUGAGCCUCAAGACCUACCAGCUGGAGAACCGCAUGCAGAUGGACAAAGGGUCCACCUUCACCCCGCCGCGCGCGGCUUAUUGUCUAAACGAGGAUGGGACUCUGAUUCCAGAGCUGGGCACCUCGAUAGGGCGGCUCGUUGAAGAGAAAGUGGUGGUGCUGAUGCCGAAAUUGCGGACAACAAGGGAUGUCGGCCAGGAGUGCUCGUGUCCUCCAGGGCCUCCAGGAAAGCGUGGACGGAUGGGAAGAAGAGGGGAAACCGGUAAGUGACGCUCGCCACCUGCCUUAGUUUGUCUCGUGUUCUCCGUUUUCCUCUUGGUCGCUUGUCCUGGGCGGCUGGAUGAGUUGGAGGGGGGGGGCGGUGAAAGCAGCGACCUACGAGUCGGGCCGAGGGAUGAUGGGCUUGGAGGGCCCUCGUCCCUGUCGACGCCCAUUUGCGCCGACAUGGCGCUGACCUCGGGCAUGUGGUUGAACUAACUUUGCCCAGAUGUCAGUGGCUCUCGCUGAGCGGUAGCAGCUGCGGUCCCAGCGAGAUUCUCCCCCCCUUUGCCAACGUCAGCCGCCACCAUUCCGUCGCUUUGUCUUCCCUCGCAGACUGCAGAACGCUCACCAAAGAACCAAAACAGUGCUGGAAGGAAGACCGCUGGCACAGAUAGAGCGGAUGUUCUUUAAGUUUGAAUCACCCUCGUUUUUUAAGUGUCGACAGCGUUUGACUAUUGUAUUAAAAUCUGCAGGACUGCAGGAUGUGUGUCAGGUCGCAACGCUUCCUCUCUGUUUGUGAUUCAUCGUUGUGGAUGUUUAGUGAGAUGGGAGCCGUUCCUGUGAAGAUGUUGACUAAGGGAAAGAUCACAUGUUGCUUUUGUCGCUCCACUAGAGCACCAACGCUCUGAGAGUAUAUUUUUAAUUAAUUAACUUUUGUUUUACGAUCCUAUUGGGAUCCAUGUCACACUCUGAUUUAAAUGUCUGAUGGGAAAUUGGUGCAAUUUUACAAUCUAGGGGUCUCAAAAUGACGUGCUAUGGCCUCAGGUUGUUAUUUUGGAGGAAUAUCAUUCCGGGAAGGCACAACAUUGAGGUUUCACCCAAAAUGGGACCCUCAUUGGCACUCUAUGGCAGGAUGUUCCGCAUCGGAAUGUGUGUUUCUAUUUAGGUGAUGUCUCCGAUUGUUUGCUUCUGGCGGCCGCAUGUAGCAGCUUUGGUUUUAUUGUGCACCGAGCUGUUGCGCCAUCCUCAAGCCGAUGACUCGGGAACAACCAUUCAGGUUUUUCCCAUCCUCUUAGAAUAACAAAUGAAAGUGGAGAAAAAUGACGGAAAACACAAACUUGGAAAACAAGAGUCCCUUGCAUCAAAUCUUACUAUUUUAUUCCAUUGUUUGCUCUUUUGGUUGAUUUAUUUUCUGUUUACGCCUUCUCUCUCUCUCUCUCUCUCUCUCUCUUUCUCCUUCAUUCUUUUUCUUUCUUUCUCUGCAACUCUCUCGCACACCACUCUCAAAUUCAAUGGUUAAAGCCGGUCUCACUUCGGCUCCAGUGUGCAUUUGUUUACCUAACUGUCUGGCCAACGGGGUCCUUGUGCAGGCGUCUAGACGCAGCUACGUUUGAUUGACUUGGUGUUCGUGCCUCGUAAACCUCAACACCUCUCUCUUCUCUCCAUUUCACCUCUUACCCCAAACACCUUCAUUUGUUAUCCCUCUUUCUACCACUCGUAUCCCCCAAAAGAUCCCUUUCCAUUGAAUUAAUCAGCAAAACUUACAAGGCUCACAUAUAUUCCGGUCACGUUAGCACGACUUUUUAUAUGUUUAACCAGUAACAAAACACCAUAAAUAGCCCACUUUCCCCCAGAGGAGGUCUGUUUUCAAUCUCUGUGAGUUUAUGUAGAUGUUUAGUGGUGCAUCCAUGCUGACGAGCUGUUGUUGUACCAGGACUGCAGUGCUGGCAUGGCUCCAAAUCACGCCACGGGCUGUAAUGGUGUAAACAAUUAAUGGAUCAGCAUCAUGAUUUGUUUUACAUUUGGAUCGGAUAAAUAUGAACCAAUCACUAAUGUAGGAUUUUUCAAUCGCAAAAUGAUUUCUUUCACUUUUCAGUGGUUUAGGCUUUGGAUGGUUUUUAUUAGUGCCCUCGGACUUUUAAGCGAGUGUGUUUAAUAAGAGUAUUCCAUUAAGACCACUAAGAACGAAUGGAGUCUUUUGAUCAUUCCUAUUGUUUUUGUUACGCUAAGUAAGAAAAGCAGAACGUACAUGUUGCUGUUUAGCGUCAACAUCCGAGGAAUCCAAUCAGACGUAAAAGACUGUCGCGGACAUCUUUCUUCAUACUUUAAAGGGACGCACUUUGCCAGCUCCCCCUUUUCACUGCGUGUUUGUCCUCCAUCUGGUACGCCCACAUCUUCUGAGGAAACAGUCUUGACAUGACUUCAUGUCCUAAUGCAAAACACGGCCCAUUAUUCACAUGUCUGUUUAUGAUAACGGGUUCACCACAAACUCCAUUGGCAGCGGCUCUAAUGAGCUUAUUCUGUUCCAUAUUUAGGUGGUUAAUUACAGUCAUCAUCUACCAAACCACGCUGCCUUUUGCAGUUGUUUUGUUGUUCACCACUUUUUCAAAGAAUUGAUUGCUGUACAAACCGAAGGUUACCAUAACUCUCGCACACUGUGCUUCAUAUGUCGGAUUUAGAGAAUUUAUUUCUAAUGCCUGAUUUUUUUCUUUUUGUGUUUCAGGACUGCCUGUAAGUACAAUUCCAUCUCAUCCAGGUAGUAUCGAAAUCAACUAACGGGUAUUGAAUGUAGUUACGGUUACAUUGCACACACAAAUGAUGACGUUUAUACAAACUGUGGUUUCCCUCUCACAGCAUUCAAACGUGAACAGACACACAAACUGUUAAAGACUUACACACACACACGUGCCUCCACGCAGUGCGCCAACAAAUGGACCCCCGAGGGAGUAAUGGGUGUGCGCAUGUGUGUGUGGGUUUCAUGGUGAUGGUUUAGGGGAGGUGAUUUAUUAGCAGCGACUCCUUGUCCUCUGUGGGACUCAAACUCUUGCUGACCACUGAAAAGCAGAUAAAACAAACACAACAAAGACUUGUAGCAAGCAGAGGGUGCUGCUGCCUCCACGUUUGACAUUCCUUCAUUUUAAAAUGAAAGGUUGUUAACUGCCUGGGAAAAGUGACACCAUUCUGUUUCUGUUUUUUCUCAAUCACAAAUGGCACCGGACAGAUAUGCAUAUGAGCUCGCUAUAAGCCUUGAGGGAAAUCGUCUGUGCUGCUGUUUUGCACCAAGUGUGCAGGAAACGAUUCGUUAUUUAUUUUCCUGGACCCACCCAAGAUCUGAUCUCUAGUGUAGAUUUGUUUUCUAAUUACAAAAAUCCCAAAUGUUUCUAAGAUGUAUAAGGAGGCCAAAAGGAAACUUACUGCACUGCAAAGUUAAGCGUGCACUCAAUCUCCAAUAAUUGCAGCAAAAGUCUUUGUGCGGAUCAGUAAAAACUGAUCCAUGAUUCUGUGUACGUUUUAAUAUUUUGGGGUAAAGUAUACAAGGCUUAUACAUACAGCUGUUGAUUU
ensembl:lncRNA